UAAGUGAGGCAUGGGGGGAAGAGAGAGCCUAUAGAUCAGGUAAGUGAGGCUCUCCCCCCCAUGCCUCACUUACCUGAUCUAUAGGCUCUCUCUCCCCUGCCUCACUUACCUGAUCUAUAGGCUCUCUCUUCCCCCCAUGCCUCACUUA